GCCAGCAGCCGCGGUAAUACGUAGGUGGCAAGCGUUGUCCGGAUUUAUUGGGCGUAAAGCGAGCGCAGGCGGUUUUUUAGGUCUGAUGUGAAAGCCUUCGGUUUAACCGGAGAAGUGCAUCGGAAACCGGGAGACUUGAGUGCAGAAGAGGACAGUGGAACUCCAUGUGUAGCGGUGAAAUGCGUAGAUAUAUGGAAGAACACCAGUGGCGAAGGCGGCUGUCUGGUCUGCAACUGACGCUGAGGCUCGAAAGCAUGGGUAGCGAACAGGAUUAGAUACCCUGGUAGUCCAUGCCGUAAACGAUGAGUGCUAAGUGUUGGAGGGUUUCCGCCCUUCAGUGCUGCAGCUAUCGCAUUAAGCACUCCGCCUGGGGAGUACGACCGCAAGGUUGAAACUCAAAGGAAUUGACGGGGGCCCGCACAAGCGGUGGAGCAUGUGGUUUAAUUCGAUGCUACGCGAAGAACCUUACCAGGUCUUGACAUCUUCUGCUAACCUAAGAGAUUAGGCGUUCCCUUCGGGGACGGAAUGACAGGUGGUGCAUGGUUGUCGUCAGCUCGUGUCGUGAGAUGUUGGGUUAAGUCCCGCAACGAGCGCAACCCUUAUUGUCAGUUGCCAGCAUUUAGUUGGGCACUCUGGCGAGACUGCCGGUGACAAACCGGAGGAAGGUGGGGAUGACGUCAAAUCAUCAUGCCCCUUAUGACCUGGGCUACACACGUGCUACAAUGGACGGUACAACGAGUCGCGAAACCGCGAGGUCAAGCUAAUCUCUGAAAGCCGUUCUCAGUUCGGAUUGCAGGCUGCAACUCGCCUGCAUGAAGUUGGAAUCGCUAGUAAUCGUGGAUCAGCAUGCCACGGUGAAUACGUUCCCGGGCCUUGUACACACCGCCCAUCACACCAUGAGAGUUUGUAACACCCAAAGCCGGUGAGGUAACCUUCGGGGGCCAGCCGUCUAAGGUGGGACAGAUGAUUAGGGUGAAGUCGUAACAAGGUAGCCGUAGGAGAACCUGCGGCUGGAUCACCUCCUUUCUAA
rnacentral:rRNA from 1 species